UCAAAAGCAGUCAUGUUUAUUUUUGCUAUUGUCACUUUGUUAGAGUCAGAAUUCUUUUAGCUGCAAGUGACAAAACCAACUCAAACUGGCUUAAGGACUUUACUUGGUUGAUGCAAAAAGCCUCGGGUUAGGUCCUGCCAUUUAAGGUAGGGCUGGAUCCGUCAAUCCGGGUUACCAGGAUCUGUUUUCUAGUUGUGGCUUCAUUUUCAAACAAGUUGUUUCCAUAUGAUAGCCUCCUAGAAGGUACUACCAGCUUAGUCCUAGCAAGAAAAAAAGAGUACUUAUUCUUCAAUAUUUGCAGCAGAAGUCCCAGGUCUGUCCUUAUGAAGGCAGUUUGAGUCGCUUGCUCUUCUCUGAACGUGGAGAAGGGACUGUUUAGAUAACUGAAGUUGGAUUCAGGUGCAUCCCCUGGAAUGGGGUUUGGCAUUAACUUCGCGUGGUCUAGAAUAAAGGGGUUCUCCAAAGGAAAAUUAGGGUAGGAAUGCUGAGCAAGCAGAACCAACAGAUGUCUACUUUAGUCCUUCCCAAAGGGUGAGCUGCAAUACAUUGCACACCAUCAGAAUGAUGAUGAAGACGGAUACAGUAGCCAAGACAAUAGAUGUGCGUUUGUCAUGGUCUUUUUCAGUCUUCAAGACCUCAGCUAAACAUGAAGUCAACCACUCACUAUGAUGUUAUUUGAGGUUUAACUUUGAAGUGUAAAUGUACCACAAAUAGUAGAGCCAGAUAAAUAUAAAUAAAUAAUGUUAACAGUCUACUCUAAAAGAUUUCUUUGGUAACAUUCUGUUGGAAUUGGUUUCUAUCUUUUCAUUUGUUAGGUUCCUGGAAAGUGAAAAUUUCAUUUCUUUGUGGACAGGCACCUAAAACAUCUCAUAAUUCAUCAAUUAAUGAAAAGCAAAUGAAAAUUUGAGAGAGAUAUUCUGAAGAAUAAAAGGAUCAAGUUGGGUCAUUUCUAAAAUGAGUUGGUGUUUAGCGAUAAUAAGAGAUGCAUACCUGAAAAGCCUAUUUAAGACUCUUCCAGUUCUACAAAGAAGGCUUCUUGAAAGUGGUGCUGCCCAGUUCAUGAGUGCUGCUGCUGUCCUGCCCAAGUACCCAGCUUGCAGGAGUGCCAGAAUUAGAGUCCCAGGGGUGUUCUCCAUGGCCACAUGCUUGAUCCAGGUCUAUCAGAUAUAUUCCAUUGAAAGUCCUCAUUCUCAAAUUUAAAACAAAGACUCUUUGUGUACCUCAAUAGCAAUGUACACACAGUUGGCUUCACAAACAUACUGUACAGUUCUUUUUUUCUCUAUUUAUUCAACAAAUGUAUAUUGACUACCUACCAUGUGACAGGUGUUGUUUGUUGGCAGAACCAGGCAUCAUCAGCAAACAAAACUGACAAAUCUUCCUGCCCUCUGUGGAAGGCAUCUGAGGAAGAGACUGGAUUUUGUAGCAACAUGUUAUUCUCAUUAUAAACUUUAGUAUUGGAAUACUAAAGCCAAAUCAUCCCCCAUCUCCUUGAUCAGGGUACCCACCUAAUCCAGGCAGCUACACAAUUGUGAGAGUCUUUGUUUUUUCUGCUGAAACAUCCUUAAAAAGAUACCUCACAAUCCAAGAUUUGGCUUUUCUUAAAUAUGAUUUUUAAUUUUUUUCAUUUCUAUCUAGAGAUUUAAUUGGAAAUGGAAAAUCAUCAAUUUUCCAAUUAAAUAUCUGCUCCAAUCAACAUUAUACCUUUUAGGUUGUCAUUGUCAUGUUUAAGUUUAAGCAACUUUAAGGAUUUUGAAUCUGGCUGCCUGUAAAUUAAAGGUGAAAGUAAUUGUGUUACAUUGGUACAUUUUGUCAAUUGAGACUGGUUUGCUUGUUCUUAGUGUACGAAAAGUUUAUUUUUCUAAUGUAGAUUAAUAAAGGAGAUAAAGAAAAACAAAAUUAAUGAUUUAUGUGGAUGAGAAAAUAAUCAUUUCCUUAAGGAUUAAAUAAAAUUCAUACCUUUUGUUUCUUUUGAAAAGUUUUUUAA